rnacentral:rRNA from 1 species
UACGUAGGGUGCGAGCGUUGCCCGGAUUUAUUGGGCGUAAAGGGCGCGUAGGCGGUGAGAUGCGUCCGUUGUGAAAUCGCCCGGCUCAACUGGGCGGGGUCAGCGGAUACGGUCUCACUUGAGCAAGCUAGGGGGCAAUGGAAUUCCCGGUGUAGUGGUGGAAUGCGUAGAUAUCGGGAGGAACACCAGUGGCGAAGGCGGUUGCCUGGGGCUUUGCUGACGCUGAGGCGCGAAAGCGUGGGGAGCGAACAGG